AACGAACGCUGGCGGCAGGCCUAACACAUGCAAGUCGAACGCUCCGCAAGGAGAGUGGCAGACGGGUGAGUAACACGUGGGAAUCUUCCUAUCGGUACGGAAUAGCUCAGGGAAACUUGAGGUAAUACCGCAUACGCCUCGGGAAGGAUUCAUCGCCGAUAGAUGAGCCCGCGUCUGAUUAGCUAGUUGGUGGGUAAGUGGCCUACCAAGGCGACGAUCAGUAGCUGGUCUGAGAGGAUGACCAGCCACACUGGGACUGAGACACGGCCCAGACUCCUACGGGAGGCAGCAGUGGGGAAUAUUGGACAAUGGGCGCAAGCCUGAUCCAGCCAUGCCGCGUGAGUGACGAAGGUCUUCGGUAUCGUAAAGACUCUUUGUCCAGGGACGAUAAU
rnacentral:rRNA from 1 species